UGUUGCUCAGAAGUAGAGUGCUUGCCUAUUAUGCAUGAGGCACUGGGUUCGAUCCCCAGCA
rnacentral:tRNA from 1 species